rnacentral:rRNA from 1 species
AUUGAACGCUGGCGGCAGGCCUAACACAUGCAAGUCGAGCGGAUGAAGGGAGCUUGCUCCUGGAUUCAGCGGCGGACGGGUGAGUAAUGCCUAGGAAUCUGCCUGGUAGUGGGGGAUAACGUCCGGAAACGGGCGCUAAUACCGCAUACGUCCUGAGGGAGAAAGUGGGGGAUCUUCGGACCUCACGCUAUCAGAUGAGCCUAGGUCGGAUUAGCUAGUUGGUGGGGUAGAGGCCUACCAAGGCGACGAUCCGUAACUGGUCUGAGAGGAUGAUCAGUCACACUGGGACUGAGACACGGUCCAGACUCCUACGGGAGGCAGCAGUGGGGAAUAUUGGACAAUGGGCGAAAGCCUGAUCCAGCCAUGCCGCGUGUGUGAAGAAGGUCUUCGGAUUGUAAAGCACUUUAAGUUGGGAGGAAGGGCAGUAAGUUAAUACCUUGCUGUUUUGACGUUACCAACAGAAUAAGCACCGGCUAACUUCGUG